GCCGGGUCGACGAGACAGGACGCUCCACCGCAAGGCGAGACCCUGGAGCUCGUCAGGUCCAGAACGAUGCGCGC
rnacentral:SRP_RNA from 15 species